rnacentral:rRNA from 1 species
UACGUAGGGGGCUAGCGUUGUCCGGAAUCAUUGGGUGUAAAGAGCUCGUAGGCGGCUCAUUGCGUCAACCGUGAAAACCUGCAGCUUAACUGUGGGCUUGCGGUCGAUACGGGCAUCACUGGAGUUCGGCAGGGGAGACUGGAAUUCCUGGUGUAGCGGUGAAAUGCGCAGAUAUCAGGAGGAACACCGGUGGCGAAGGCGGGUCUCUGGGCCGAUACUGACGUGAGGAGCGAAAGCGUGGGGAGCGAACAGG